rnacentral:lncRNA from 1 species
AUGGCUUUGGAAAGGGAUCCACAUGGCCCUGCCAGCCCUCCUUGUUCGGGGCAGAACGAACGGGUUGCGAGGCUUGCUAGCGUUCGAGCUGCGUCCUGGCCCUUGCUGUUUCCUUUGGAGGAAGAUGAGCACAGCAGAGGAGGAACUUCACCGGUCAAGGGGGCUUGCAGAGGGACAGCAUGUUUCAGUGUUUUAGCAGAAAGGCAAUGGCAUUGGUGAGUCUGUGCAGUCGGUUAUUUAUUUCCCCACGUGGAACAUCAGGGACAAAUAGAGCUCUGACGGUUAAUGCCAGAGUUGAGAACAUUUCUGUGGUUUUUGAAGGUGUUGAGUGCCAAGUGGCCAAGAGCUGCCCUGGCAGGAAAAGUCUUUUUUCCUUACCUCCCUGAAACAUAGCCAGGCUCCAUAGUUUUCAUUUUUCCUAUCCCCCCUUUUUUGAGGUCAGGAAACUUUGGGCUCAAAAUUUUAAUAAUUUUAGAAUCCCCAAUAACUGUUUUUUAACAAAGCCUCUUGACCUAACAGAUUGGCCUGUCUCUGCCAGGCAGGUCAUUAAUUUCCAGUCUAAUGCACCAGGGAGAACAUUGUGAAAUGACUGCAUAAAGAGGCAUUAGAGUAAAGAUGAUUUGGGGCUAUUUGCCUGGCAAAGAAAUUGAACUAGCUACGGCUUUUCUUUUACCUGACUCAUGACUGUAUCGCAGGGGUCAGAUUGGAAAAACAAGUGAAUGUUAUUCACCUACAGCCUGCUUUCAGACCCAUCUCUGUGCACCUCUGAUGCCAGAAUGACAUCGUGCUUCUGGAGGUGAAACAAUUUAAACUAUAGAGAUGAAAAUUAUUGGUUUUGAUGACUUCCUUAAAAAAAACAGCAACAACAACAUCAGACUGAGGCUUUGUAAAACUGUUUUGAAAGUGGCUGUUGCUGCAUCUCUUGUGUAAAAUGCUAAAACCUCUGAGCAGUCUAUCAGAGUGGCUGUUUUACCAGCAACAGAGUGUUUUAAAGGCUGUGGCAAAAGCCGUGCUGCAUAAAAAGGCUCUGAACUUAAAGUGCUUUAAGCAGGUUUGUAACAGUAAUGCCGUUGUGCCUAUACAUAAAAGCGUAUGAAAAAAGCAGCAUUUGUAGACAGAACUAAUAGCGUUUCACUGCUAGCUAAUAAAACUGUCACCUCUAAAUACA